GUCUACGGCCAUGCCACCCCGAACAAGCCCUACUAUCCCUUCUGAUCUCGAAAGCUAAGCAGGGUCGCGCCCUGGUUAGUACUUGGAUGGGAGACCACCUAGAAAGAGCAGAUGCUGUAGGCA
rnacentral:rRNA from 1 species